rnacentral:lncRNA from 1 species
CCAAAAAUCAGCCCCCGAAGGUCGGGGUCCCAAGACCCCCCAGCGGAAAAAUGGCCAAAAAAAGGGUGGGCUAUAGCCUUGGUGGGGGGCGUGGGCGAAGUUCGUCCGCGGGACUCGGAAUGGCCCCAGGCUUGGCGGGCGGCCUCCGUCUGCCAAAAAUAGGCCACGGGCACAGCCGCGCCCAAAAAUCAGCCCCCGAAGGUCGGGGUCCCAAGACCCCCCAGCGGAAAAAUGGCCAAAAAACGGGUGGGCUAUAGCCUUGGUGGGGGGUGUGGGCGAAGUUCGUCCGCGGGACUCGGAAUGGCACCAUACUUGGCGGGCGGCCUCCGUGUGCCAAAAAUAGGCCACGGGCCCAGCCGCGCCCAAAAACCAGCCCCCGAAGUUCGGGGUCCCAAGACCCCCCAGCGGAAAAAUGGCCAAAAAACGGGUGGGCUAUAGCCUUGGUGGGGGGCGUGGGCGAAGUUCGUCCGCGGGACUCGGAAUGGCACCAGACUUGGCGGGCGGCCUCCGUGUGCCAAAAAUAGGCCACGGGCACAGCCGCGCCCAAAAAACAGCCCCCGAAGUUCGGGGUCCCAAGACCCCCCAGCGGAAAAAUGGCCAAAAAACGGUGGGCUAUAGCCUUGGUGGGGGGCGUGGGCGAAGUUCGUCCGUGGGACUCGGAAUGGCACCAGACUUGGCGGGCGGCCUCCGUGUGCCAAAAGUAGGCCACGGGCACAGCCGCGCCCAAAAAACAGCCCCCGAAGUUCGGGGUCCCAAGACCCCCCAGCGGAAAAAUGGCCAAAAAACGGUGGGCUAUAGCCUUGGUGGGGGGCGUGGGCGAAGUUCGUCCGUGGGACUCGGAAUGGCACCAGACUUGGCGGGCGGCCUCCGUGUGCCAAAAAUAGGCCACGGGCACAGCCGCGCCCAAAAAACAGCCCCCGAAGUUCGGGGUCCCAAGACCCCCCAGCGGAAAAAUGGCCAAAAAACGGUGGGCUAAAGCCUUGGUGGGGUGCGUGGGUGAAGUUCGUCCGCGGGACUCGGAAUGGCACCAGACUUGGCGGGCGGCCUCCGUGUGCCAAAAAUAGGCCACGGGCACAGCCGCGCCCAAAAAACAGCCCCCGAAGUUCGGGGUCCCAAGACCCCCCAGCGGAAAAAUGGCCAAAAAACGGUGGGCUAUAGCCUUGGUGGGGUGCGUGGGCGAAGUUCGUCCGCGGGACUCGGAAUGGCACCAGACUUGGCGGGCGGCCUCCGUGUGCCAAAAAUAGGCCACGGGCACAGCCGCGCCCAAAAAACAGCCCCCGAAGUUCGGGGUCCCAAGACCCCCCAGCGGAAAAAUGGCCAAAAAACGGUGGGCUAUAGCCUUGGUGGGGGGCGUGGGCGAAGUUCGUCCGUGGGACUCGGAAUGGCACCAGACAUGGCGGGCGGCCUCCGUGUGCCAAAAAUAGGCCACGGGCACAGUCUCGCCCAAAAAACAGCCCCCGAAGUUCGGGGUCCCAAGACCCCCCAGCGGAAAAAUGGCCAAAAAACGGUGGGCUAUAGCCUUGGUGGGGGGCGUGGGCGAAGUUCAUCCGCGGGACUCAGAAUGGCACCAGACUUGGCGGGCGGCCUCCGUGUGCCAAAAAUAGGCCACGGGCACAGCCGCUCCCCAAAAACAGCCCCCGAAGUUUGGGGUCCCAAGACCCCCCUGCGGAAAAAUGGCCAAAAAACGGGUGGGCUAUAGCCUUGGUGGGGGGCGUGGGCGAAGUUCGUCCGCGGGACUCGGAAUGGCACCAGACUUGGCGGGCGGCCUCCGUGUGCCAAAAAUAGGCCACGGGCACAGCCGCGCCCAAAAAACAGCCCCCGAAGUUCGAGGUCCCAAGACCCCCCAGCGGAAAAAUGGCCAAAAAACGGGUGGGCUAUAUCCUUGGUGGGGGGAGUGGGCGAAGUUAUUCCGCGGGACUCGGAAUGGCACCAGACUUGGCGCGCGGCCUCCGUGUGCCAAAAAUAGGCCAUGGGCACAGCCGCGCCCAAAAAACAGCCCCCGAAGUUCGGGGUCCCAAGAAACCCCAGCGGAAAAAUGGCCAAAAAACGGUGGGCUAUAGCCUUGGUGGGGGGCGUGGUGCGAAGUUCGUCUGCGGGACUCGGAAUGGCACCAGACUUGGCGGGCGGCCUCCGNNNNNNNNNNNNNNNNNNNNNNNNNNNNNNNNNNNNNNNNNNNNNNNNNNNNNNNNNNNNNNNNNNNNNNNNNNNNNNNNNNNNNNNNNNNNNNNNNNNNNNNNNNNNNNNNNNNNNNNNNNNNNNNNNNNNNNNNNNNNNNNNNNNNNNNNNNNNNNNNNNNNNNNNNNNNNNNNNNNNNNNNNNNAAAAAUAGGCCACGGGCACAGCCGCGCCCAAAAAACAGCCCCCGAAGUUCGGGGUCCCAAGACCCCCCAGCGGAAAAAUGGCCAAAAAACGGGGGGGCUUUACCCUUGUUGGGGGGCGGGGGCAAAUUUGUUCCCGGGACUCGGAAUGGCACCAGACUUGGCGGGCGGCCUCCGUGUGCCAAAAAUAGGCCACGGGCACAGCCGCGCCCAAAAAACAGCCCCCGAAGUUCGGGGUCCCAAGACGCCCCAGCGGAAAAAUGGCCAAAAAAUGGGUGGGCUAUAGCCUUGGUGGGGGGCGUGGGCGAAGUUCGUCCGCGGGACUCGGAAUGGCACCAGACUUGGCGGGCGGCCUCCGUGUGCCAAAAAUAGGCCACGGGCAGAGCCGCGCCCAAAAAACAGCCCCCGGAAUUCGGGGUCCCAAGACGCCCCAGCGGAAAAAUGGCCAAACAACGGGUGGGCUAUAGCCUUGGUGGGGGGCGUGGGCGAAGUUCGUCCGCGGGACUCGGAAUGGCACCAGACUUGGCGGGCGGCCUCCGUGUGCCAAAAAUAGGCCACGGGCACAGCCGCGCCCAAAAAACAGCCCCCGGAAUUCGGGGUCCCAAGACGCCCCAGCGGAAAAAUGGCCAAACAACGGGUGGGCUAUAGCCUUGGUGGGGGGCGUGGGCGAAGUUCGUCCGCGGGACUCGGAAUGGCACCAGACUUGGCGGGCGGCCUCCGUUUGCCAAAAAUAGGCCACGGGCACAGCCGCGCCCAAAAAACAGCCCCCGAAGUUCGGGGUCCGAAGACCCCCCAGCGGAAAAAUGGCCAAAAAACGGGUGGGCUAUAGCCUUGGUGGGGGGCGUGGGCGAAGUUCGUCCGCGGGACUCGGAAUGGCACCAGACUUAGCGGGCGGCCUCCGUGUGCCAAAAAUAGGCCACGGGCACAGCCGCGCCCAAAAAACAGCCCCCGAAGUUCGGGUUCCCAAGACCCCCCAGCGGAAAAAUGGCCAAAAAACGGUGGGCUAUAGCCUUGGUGGGGGGCGUGGGUGAAGUUCGUCCGUGGGACUCAGAAUGGCACCAGACUUGGCGGGCGGCUUCCGUGUGCCAAAAAUAGGCCACGGGCACAGCCGCGCCCAAAAAACAACCCCCGAAGUUCGGGCUCCCAAGACCCCCCAGCGGAAAAAUGGCCAAAAAACGGUGGGCUAUAGCCUUGGUGGGGUGCGUGGGCGAAGUUCGUCCGCGGGACUCGGAAUGGCACCAGACUUGGCGGGCCGCCUCCGUGUGCCAAAAAUAGGCCACGGGCACAGCCGCGCCAAAAAAACAGCCCCCGAAGUUCGGGGUCCCAAGACCCCCCAGCGGAAAAAUGGCCAAAAAGCGGUGGGCUAUAGCCUUGGUGGGGGGCGUGGGCGAAGUUCGUCCGUGGGACUCGGAAUGGCACCAGACUUGGCGGGCGGCCUCCGUGUGCCAAAAAUAGGCCACGGGCACAGCCGCGCCAAAAAAACAGCCCCCGAAGUUCGGGGUCCCAAGACCCCCCAGCGGAAAAAUGGCCAAAAAACGGGUGGGCUAUAGCCUUGGUGGGGGGCGUGGGCGAAGUUCGUCCGCGGGACUCGGAAUGGCACCAGACUUGGCGGGCGGCCUCCGUGUGCCAAAAAUAGGCCACGGGCACAGCCGCGCCCAAAAAACAGCCCCCGAAGUUCGGGUUCCCAAGACCCCCCAGCGGAAAAAUGGCCAAAAAACGGUGGGCUAUAGCCUUGGUGGGGGGCGUGGGCGAAGUUCGUCCGCGGGACUCGGAAUGGCACCAGACUUGGCGGGCAGCCUCCGUGUGCCAAAAAUAGGCCACGGGCACAGCCGCGCCCAAAAAACAGCCCCCGAAGUUCGGGUCCCAAGAC